AUGGGGGAGCAGCGGGAGGCUUCGGCUUCGGCGGCGGCGGUAGCGCACAGCAGCAACAUGCAGCGUGUGAAAGUGUACCGUUUGAGGGAUGGAGGCAAAUGGGAUGAUCAGGGGACAGGGCACGUUGCUGUUGACUACAUCGAGGGUUCAAAAGAACCUGGUUUGACUGUUUUGGAUGAAGAAGACAACGAAACACUGCUUGUCCACAAUAUUACAUCUGAAGAUAUCUACAGAAAGCAAGAAGAAACAAUCAUCUCAUGGAGGGAUCCAGAAGCAGCAACAGAAUUAGCAUUGAGCUUUCAGGAGGCUGCAGGGUGCUCCUACAUAUGUCUCUGCAGGGACAACAUCUGUGAUAUUCAGAGAAACCUUCAGUUUAGUAACCUUGGCGGUCUUGAAGUUGGUCCUCGUCCAGCUUCGGAACAUCUAGAAGCCUCUAGAGUAUUGCAUUCACACGAUGAGUCCUUUCGCUCUGUUAACGGUGAACUGAGGGAACUUCCACCUGUUGAUUUGUCCAAUCUUCCUUUGAUUUUGAAGACUAUAUUGGAGGGUGGCAUUACAGAUCAAAUGCGUGUGGCCGAGUUGAUAACACAAGAUCGUGAUUUUUUCCCCAAGCUGCUGGAUAUUUUUAGAAUGUGUGAGGAUUUAGAGAAUUUAGAUGAUCUCCACAUGAUAUUCAAAUUGGUCAGGGGAAUCAUAUUGCUGAACAGUCCAUCGAUCUUUGAUAAGAUAUUCUCUGAUGAGUUUAUUCUUGACAUCAUAGGCGCCCUUGAAUAUGAUCCAGAGGUUGCUAAAGUGCAAAAGCAUCGCAUUUUUCUGAAGGAUCAUGUAGUUUUCAAAGAGGCCAUACCUAUUAAAAAUAUUUCUGUGGUUUCAAGGAUACAUCAAACGUACAGAAUAGGGUAUCUAAAGGAUGUUAUAUUACCCAGAAUAUUAGAUGAUGCCACUCUGGCUAGUCUUAACACGAUUAUACACACGAACAAUGCUGCUGUUAUUUCCUUACUGAAGGAUGAUGCUUGCUUUAUCCAAGACUUAUUCUCUAGGAUGAGAUCACCAAAUAUUUCUAUGGAAUCGAAAAGAGAAUUGGUCCUGUUCUUGCAUGAGUUCUGCACUCUUAGUAAGAGUUUGCCGCUUGUACAACAACUACGACUGUUUCGGGAUCUUUCAGGUGAAGGUGUAUUUGAAAUUGUAUCUGAUGUGUUGCAGAGUCAAGACAGAAAAAUUGUUUCGGCUGGGACGGAUAUCGUUAUUCUUUUUCUUAAUCAGGACCCUAACCUAUUGAGGUCAUAUAUUGUCCAGCAAGAAGGAAAUUCUCUUCUUGGACUUUUGGUUAAAGGAAUGGUAACUGACUUUGGUGAGCAAAUGCACUGUCAAUUUCUGGAAAUCCUCCGUAUAUUAAUGGAUUCUUUCACUAUGUCUGGAGCACAUAGAGACGUAAUUAUUGAGAUUUUCUAUGAAAGGCACCUUGACUAUUUGGUUGAUGUAAUAGCAUCCUCUUGUCCUUCGAGGAGUGCUACCCGAACAUCACCUAACUCAGCUGUCGUUGGUGGAAACACUGAAGUGCAUCGUAUCAAGCCAGAAAUUCUGUUAAAUGUCUGCGAACUAUUAUGCUUUUGUGUAGUCCAUCAUCCCUAUAGAAUUAAGUGCAACUUCCUUAUGAACAAUGCGAUAGAGAAAAUCCUUACCAUGACUCGACGAAGUGAGAAGUUUUUGGUUGUUGCAGCUGUCAGGUUUAUGCGCACUAUUAUAUCCAGAAAUGAUGAACAUCUUAUUCGCCAUGUUGUCAAGUUUAACUUGUUGAAACCAAUAAUUGACGCCUUUGUGGAAAAUGGGGAUAGAUAUAACAUGCUACAAUCUGGAGUACUCGAACUGUUGGAACACAUACGGAAGGAAAAUCUAAAACCUCUUGUUAUUUAUGUUACCGAGUCUUUCUCAGAUCAACUUAUGAAGUUUGAACACUUCGGGAGCAUUCAGGCCUUCAAACUCAAGUAUCAACAGUACUUGGAGAGUGCCGAUAUGAAAUUAAGUGCUAGUGUGCCUGACAUGAGAAAGAAGGCAGAAGGAAGAGGUCUUGAGAAGGAAGAGGAAGAUUAUUUCAACGAGAGUGACGAGGAAGAUUUAGUAAGGCGGACUAAACAUGCACACAGUGAACAUAAUGAAGAAAGCAAGGAUGAUGUAGCCAAUGGAAGCGAAACUGGUGACAUAUCCUCAAGGCCUAAAUCUGGUGGGCUUGUGGACUAUGCUGAUGAUGAUGACGAGGAUUUCAAUCCGCCACCCAAGGAGCCUGAUAGGCCUGUGGAUGACGAUGAGCUCUUAACUAUAUCCACAGUGAAGCGGAAAUUAGUAAACACGGGGGAUGGCAAACAUGCAGAUGGGGAGGUUCGCAAGAGACAAAAGAUUGAAACAAGGAUUACUUGUGCCAAGAUUUCUGCUUUGACUAAUCUGGCUAGCAAACACAAGGAUUCACUUGCCUCAAGCUCGCCAAGUUGCGAGGCCAAUGGUGUUUUGGGAGAGCAUGCUACACAUUCUGAUGAGCAUCAACAUUCCCCAGACACUGCAGAAACCUCACGGCAAGUUGGCGGUGAUUGUAUCAAAGCAAUGGGCAGUUUGUCUAGUGAGAAGGCUGUAAAUACCACCAAAACAAACGAUUCAGAGCCCUAUUCAGUGAGAUGA
rnacentral:rRNA from 1 species